GCGGAGGUUGCCUUCUUGGGUCAGUGAUGAGUGUUGGCAUGUAUUACCUGAUGUAAAGCUGAUGUCUGUCACCACUUUAGCUCUAGAAUUAUUCUGAGACCCAGGCAACUCCAGUUUCUUUCCACUGUAUUUCUGAGCAUUUCCCCCAGUAUUUCUGAGGGUCCGCGGCUCUGCAGCUCUCCAGGGCAGUUCCCAACUACACGGCUGUCUGCAGGUUACGCUGGUUGAGGUUUUUUGGAUGUAUAUCUGACUGCACAGCAGCUGAAAAGGAGUUGUUCGCUUUGAUGCGCAGUCAACACACGGAUGGCUGGAGUUGUAACGCGCGCUUUGUCAGUGAGCGAGGAAACUAUCCGCGGGCUGGAAAAGGCAGCAGUGCCGAGGAACUCUGUGGUUAAUCGCUCUUGUUGUUCAGCGUGAAACCUGGGCUUGAGUGUUUUGUCGCCUGUUGUCGAGGAUGACUUGAAUGUAUUUUUCCUUGUCAUUGAAGAGUAUUUAUUUCAUUCCCUCCUCCCUGCGUUGUAGGAGUAAGAGCCCCAAGGUUCUCCCGGUGCGGUGCAACGCGACGCUGCGAAAGGAUGCGAUAAGAAACCCUGAUGCCCCGAGCACGUUGCCGUACGGGCCGCGUGUUUCUCCCGGAGUUUCGCCUGGGACAAGGAAAGGUGACCGAAAGUAAAAAUCAUGCCCUGCUUCGGGGCGCAGUCUGUCGGGAGUACUUGAGGACGAGCGGCGUUUCCUGGGGGCAGACAGCGAGGGAUCCCGUGGGACGACGGCUGCACCGACUGACGGCAGACGGAAUUCUGGCGUUCAUCAGAUCACGCCAGCGCACGUGGUGCGGAGUAAGAGCUCCAAGGUUCUCCCGGUGCGGUGCAACGCGACGCUGCGAAAGGAUGCGAUAAGAAACCCUGAUGCCCCGAGCACGUUGCCGUACGGGCCGCGUGUUUCUCCCGGAGUUUCGCCCGGGACACGGAAAGGUGACCGAAAGUAAAAAUCAUGCCCUGCUUCGGGGCGCAGUCUGUCGGGAGUACUUGAGGACGAGCGGCGUUUCCUGGGGGCAGACAGCGAGGGAUCCCGCGGGACGACGGCUGCACCGACUGACGGCAGACGGAAUUCUGGCGUUCAUCAGAUCACGCCAGCGCACGUGGUGCGGAGUAAGAGCCCCAAGGUUCUCCCGGUGCGGUGCAACGCGACGCUGCGAAAGGAUGCGAUAAGAAACCCUGAUGCCCCGAGCACGUUGCCGUACGGGCCGCGUGUUUCUCCCGGAGUUUCGCCUGGGACAAGGAAAGGUGACCGAAAGUAAAAAUCAUGCCCUGCUUCGGGGCGCAGUCUGUCGGGAGUACUUGAGGACGAGCGGCGUUUCCUGGGGGCAGACAGCGAGGGAUCCCGUGGGACGACGGCUGCACCGACUGACGGCAGACGGAAUUCUGGCGUUCAUCAGAUCACGCCAGCGCACGUGGUGCGAGGGGGAAAAGAAAAGAAAAAAGGGACGCCAAACCAAGAAGAGAACGUUGCCUGAAUCUUAUUUUUUCACCAAGGCUAUCUCCACCUGUUCUGUCUUUGAUUUUCCUUCUCACGCAAACGGCGGUGAAAAACAAUACGGAGAAAAAGGCUCCAGUGCUUGCCAACAGCGGCUUGGUUGUUCGCGUGAUGUAUCUCUCGUCCCAUCUCGAGGAAGAAAUCUGUCAGCGGUGUUACAAAUGAAGUAGCAUCCUGCUUUGGGCAGAAACUGUGCUGCGUUUGAAAGCCUUGGGUAGGGCAGGCGGAGGUUGCCUUCUUGGGUCAGUGAUGAGUGUUGGCAUGUAUUACCUGAUGUAAAGCUGAUGUCUGUCACCACUUUAGCUCUAGAAUUAUUCUGAGACCCAGGCAACUCCAGUUUCUUUCCACUGUAUUUCUGAGCAUUUCCCCCAGUAUUUCUGAGGCUCUGCGGCUCUCCAGGGCAGUUCCCAACUACACGGCUGUCUGCAGGUUACGCUGGUUGAGGUUUUUUGGAUGUAUAUCUGACUGCACAGCAGCUGAAAAGGAGUUGUUCGCUUUGAUGCGCAGUCAACACACGGAUGGCUGGAGUUGUAACGCGCGCUUUGUCAGUGAGCGAGGAAACUAUCCGCGGGCUGGAAAAGGCAGCAGUGCCGAGGAACUCUGUGGUUAAUCGCUCUUGUUGUUCAGCGUGAAACCUGGGCUUGAGUGUUUUGUCGCCUGUUGUCGAGGAUGACUUGAAUGUAUUUUUCCUUGUCAUUGAAGAGUAUUUAUUUCAUUCCCUCCUCCCUGCGUUGUAGGAGUAAGAGCUCCAAGGUUCUCCCGGGUCGAUCACCACUGCCACUAGCAGCAUGGGUUUUAUUGGAUUUUACAUGGGUUUCAUAUGGGUUACCAGAACUUGAUUCUCAUGCAAACCAUGGUGAAAAACAAUACAAUAUGGGCUCUUAUAUGCUUACUUGCUUCUUUUAUAUCUGUGUGCUUUCACCAUACCUGUAAUGUGUUUGCCAAACCACCGAGGAGUAGGAUUUGUUGUUAUGCUGGUGUAGUUUUGACCUUCUAGGCUGCGAUAAGUCGUUGAGGCUCCUACGUGUGGUUAUAAUACGAUAAUUCUGCUUGGUUGUCUGCAUUAUAGGACCCUUGUAAGUGGAAAUUGUGGAUCUUAUCAGAUAAACAGGAUGUACUCUGCACCAGACCAAAUCAGUAAUUGUGGAUAGGAUUUUGUAGAGUGACUCAUUAACUCCACUGCCAGGGUGCUCGUGUCAUGACACUUUAAAUAGCCUCUUGCAGUUGUAUGAUGAUAGAAGCUUCAGGGGAAAGUUAAUGCAGUGAAGGAGUGCUUGGAUACCUGGUAACUGCUGCUGUCUCUUUUUGGGUUUUUUUCCUUCCUUGUAUUUUCUUCUUUCAGUUUUAUAGCACAGUAGGUUGCUACUCCCCUCUUAAGAUUUUACAGCAAAGCUCUAUAUUCGGAGACUGCUGAAGAGGAUUAUACUGUUCCUGAACAGCAAACGGGGCAUUUAUGGAAGAGGCAUUUGGAGGUUAUCAAAUUUACCUUUUCAGUCUUUCUCAUCUUUGCUCCUUCUGUUUGAUGCCAUUAUGUGUUAUUGGGAAUACAUGAGUGGUUCCUGCUGAAUGCAGAGUUGAAAAUUGCCUUAGGUCUUAGCAGGAAACAAUCUACAAACACCUCUGAGUAAAUCAUAGUGCCGUAAAUGCAUGCCACAGAAAUUGCUCUGAUGCGUGCUUGCAGGCAAGACAAAAGUUUAUUCAGUUGCAGCAUCGUCUUCAGCCAUGGAGUUUGCAGUUCUCUUGCUAAGAAACAAAAGCUCCAUCCUGUACAAACAAAAGCUGGAUAGCUUUUGGAGGUUAACAAACACGUUCUUCUCCCAGGUGGUUCCAUUUCAUACCUCAUUUCGAAUUGUUGGACUAUCUUUAUUAGGAGAAGAACAAAUGAAGGCCGUCAAUCCUGUCUUGUAUGCCAGAAGAUGUCCUUCAAGGAUAAAUGUACAGCCUGAGCUCUCAGAAGAGGUUGAUAUGCUCUGUUGCUCUGGUUUUACUGCUAGAAAGUCAUCUCCGAAACCAUUAGUGUAUUCUUCUUUGAAGUAUGUUUACAUUACUGUAGUAAAGCAGUAGCUUUACCACAGGCUUUGUGUAGCUGUAGAUACACUUGCUAAAAGAAAAUCUGGGGGGAAAAAGAUCAGCCAUUCUGUUAUCUUCUAAGAACAUGCUCAAGCCAGA